rnacentral:misc_RNA from 1 species
UACGGAGGGUGCAAGCGUUAAUCGGAAUUACUGGGCGUCAAGCGCGCGUAGGUGGCUUGAUAAGCCGGUUGUGAAAGCCCCGGGCUUAACCUGGGAACGGCAUCCGGAACUGUCAGGCUAGAGUGCAGCAGAGGAAGGUAGAAUUCCCGGUGCAGCGGUGAAAUGCGUAGAGAUCGGGAGGAAUACCAGUGGCGAAGGCGGCCUUCUGGACUGACACCGACACUGAGGUGCGAAAGCGUGGGUAGCAAACAGG